ACUCAAAUGAAUUGACGGGGGCCCGCACAAGCGGAGGAACAUGUGGUUUAAUUCGAUGAUACGCGAGGAACCUUACCCGGGCUUGAAAUGGAGAGGAAUGAUGUUGAAAGAUGUCAGUUCGCAAGAACCUCUUUGUAGGUGCUGCAUGGUUGUCGUCAGCUCGUGCCGUGAGGUGUCGGCUUAAGUGCCAUAACGAGCGCAACCCUUGUCGUUAGUUACUAACAGGUUAUGCUGAGGACUCUAGCGAGACUGCCACCGUAAGGUGCGAGGAAGGUGGGGAUGACGUCAAAUCAGCACGGCCCUUACGUCCGGGGCGACACACGUGUUACAAUGGGAGGUACAGAGGGUUGCUACUUAGUGAUAAGAUGCUAAUCUCUAAAACCUCUCUCAGUUCGGAUCGAAGUCUGCAACUCGACUUCGUGAAGCUGGAUUCGCUAGUAAUCGCGCAUCAGCCAUGGCGCGGUGAAUACGUUCCCGGGCCUUGUACACACCGCCCGU
rnacentral:rRNA from 1 species